rnacentral:rRNA from 1 species
CACUGCUCUGACGGAUGCUUUUAUUAGACCAAACCGCUGAGGACUUGAGGGUUCGCUCUCCUGUCUGACUCGUGUAAUGGUGACUCUGGAUAACCAAUUCUGACAAGCGCACGUACUUCUCUUCUGAGCGAGACGGCGCUGCCACUUUCGAGUGUCUGCCUUAUCAGCUAUCAACCGUUCGUUAUGCGCGACCGAUGGCUUUGACGGGUAACGGGGAAUCAGGGUUCGAUUCCGGAGAGGCAGCCUGAGAGACGGCUACCACGUCCAAGGACGGCAGCAGGCACGCAAAUUACCCAAUCCCAGCAAAUGGGGGAGGUAGUGACGAAAUCUAACGAUGCGGGCGCCCUUUCUGGGGCCCCGCAAUCGGAAUGGGCACUUUCUAAACAACCUGUUGAGAACCUACUGAAGGGCAAGUCUGGUGCCAGCAGCCGCGGUAAUUCCAGCUUCAGCAGCAUCUAUUAAAGUUGCUGCGGUUAAAAGGCUCGCAGUUGAAUGUCUGUAUCGAGCGCAGGUCAGGUGGACGUUGGGGCGUGGAAGUACGGGCAGUUGGAUGUCCGUGGGGCCUUCGUGCUCAACGGCUCCUUCGGCUUUUCCACACACCCCCGUCCGUGACAAGCCUCCUCGCUCGGGUACAUAACGGGAAUCGGUCAAACGGAGUGUGGUUGGAGGUUGGGGUGCGUGGCUUCGGUUGCGUGCUUCUUCUUUCGGCUGCGUUAAGCUCCAUCGGUUUCACGGUCACCUUGAGUAAAUCAGAGUGCUCAAAGCAGUCGUAGGGGCCUUGCGCCCUGUGAACAGUCUUGACGGACUGACUUGGUUUUGCAUGGCAUGUCGGAAGACGACGUCGUGUGCUGGCUCAGAGGAUAAAUCAGUGGUACAAGCCAGCCUCGACGUAAUGAUUAAAAGGGACGGUCGAGGGCAUUGGUAUUGCGAGGCGAGAGGUGAAAUUCUGUGACCCCCGCAAGACCUCCUGAAGCGAAAGCGUCUGCCAAGGACGUUUU